rnacentral:tRNA from 1 species
AUUCAAGUAGCUUAACUAGAGCAUGAUAUUGAAGAUAUCAAGGUAAUAUUAUAUAUUUUUGAAUA